AAUUUGUUGCGGACAAAUGUAGUGAAUGUGGGUAUCUAUACCACCAGCAGUCAGGAUCUGCCCUUCCCCCGCCACCACUUCAGUGCCCGGGCCAAUCACGAUAUCAACGUUAUCCUGAACAUCCGGAUUGCCGGCUUUACCAAUAUGCGCAAUACGGCCCCCUUUAAUGGCCACAUCGGCUUUGACAAUGCCCCAGUAAUCCAGCACCACCACAUUGGUGAUCACCAUAUCCGGGGUUUCACUGCUGGGCCGCUGGCUUUGUCCCAUGCCAUCACG
rnacentral:sRNA from 1 species